GCUAAGCAAACAAGAUGCCUGUUCGGGGCACGUAAGCAAAAUGAACUGGGCGGGGCAAUGAAUAACAAAAGCAAAUUGCAUAGGGGUAAAUAUGCAAAAGCACCCGACAAAAUAAAUAUACAAAGCGGAGGGCAAGUAGAAAUAAGAGGAGAGAAGAGAGGAGAAGAGAGGGGGAGCCUUGGCCAAAUCUGAGUCGGAUGGCGAGGGAGAUGCCGAUUCCUCGGCCGUGGUUUCUAGAUCUGGUCCCUCUCCUCGUCGUCGUCCUCAUCGCAGCCCACGUCUUCGCACUGGUCUACUGGAUCUACAGGCUCGUCGCUGAGAGGCUGCCCCAAAGGAGCAAGAAGAAUUAGGGUUUCGCUUUCGAAAUUAGUGAGAUUUGUGCGGUUUUAUGUGGGGCCGAGGUACGGAGGUUCGAAAAGAUUGUGUUUUUAGUGAGCCCUGUCCUGAUGAACUGACAAGAGGUCGGUUGACCCGGUAAUUAGAGGAGAGGCACCUCCAUCAGUCUUUUGAGGAAAAAUGAAUUUGUGAGUUGCUUAAUUUACUUGUGGAAUUGCUCCUACGUUUCUGAUGGACAUACAAGACCCUCAAUGGUAGCACACCUUCCAAGGGAUGCUGAUUGGUGUCUCAAUGGACAAUUCCAGGUUUGAAAUUGCUGCCAUUAGGAAGCCCGUGUUUGCCUAAUUCUCCAAGGUAGUCAAUGAUUUCAAUAAAAAUAUCAUCCAUCCAGUCCCUAUGGAGGGUGGCGGAACCCAAGAUUGUACUAUAGGUUCAAAGGAGCAAAGCCAAGUUGCCUACUGCUCUGAACUGCAGCAUCCUGCCAACCAGUGACUAACCAUGUGCAGAGUUCAGAAAAGCCCAAGCAGGAUGUCAAUGCUUUGGGGUUGAUCUCCGGAAUUGCAGCUUAUGACAUCCACCUCCUUGGUCACUCUGCCACGUCGUUCAUCUGAGGCACUUGAAGGAGAAUUUCACUCUAGCAAUUGACAACACAGUAAGCCAAGCAUCAAGGAAGUAAUAACAGGCAUCAACAGGGAGCUCCCACCAUCAAGCUUCUGUGACGAUGAACUGAUUAAGGCAAUUGACCAAAAAUUCUUGGGGUCAGGUUCCCGAAUGCUGGAACUUCGCCUCCAGCCAGCAGUCUGGCAACAUGCUUCGUCUACUUAUACUGCAAUGCUAGUCCAAACCAACACCUUUCUCUAUGGCUACUCUGACACCCGCUUUAAUAUCCUUGAAGCUAUUACUUCCUCAACAAUAAUACACCCCGCGUAUCUCCGUUGUCCUCUUAUUCUACACUUAUUGGAAAACUAACAGGUGUUCCAAUUUCAAAAGCUAUUGCUCCUGAUAGCAGCCAAGUUGGUUCUUCUGAGCAUCAAAGCUAUCAGGAAUAAUCCACGAAUCCUUCAACUGCAGACAAAAGAUGGCCUCACAGUUGUCAGUAGCACUGCUGUUGGUUUCGGGUCUUGACUGAAUUUGUCCUUCUUGAGGCCAAAAUCUUCGAUGUUCUCCUGAAGUCCUCUCUGCUAUUAAAUUUCCAGUUUGAGGCCAGCAACCUUGUCGUCCUCUCUGCCGUCUUCAGAAUAAUGCAGAAUUUAGUGACGGCUACCUCACCAACAAGUGAACUACCAUCUAGGAGCAAACCUCGUGGAGCAAAUUUUGUAAGAAAGCUCCUAUGCAAAAAUGGCUAAGAAGUUAUACAAGCUCGGUUCUUUCCAGAAACUGGAGCAAGAAAAUUAUGCUUUAUGGAACACAAUGAUAAGCGUCAGAAUGAAUUCGUCAGCUUUAGUAAAUUCGUGUCAGAUCAAGCCUCUAUGAAGUUUUAAGGGACAAUAUUCUGUUGAGUUAAACCUGUCACUAUACGAGUCAAGUAAAAUUAGUCAAUGCAGAAGUGCCCUAGAGAGGAUCGAGCACUGGUUUGCAUUGCAAGAAGUGAAUCAGAUGAGUCAAAGAUGAGGAACUGCCAGCGAGAGAAAGCUUUUUGUUUCCCCAAAAACUGUGAAACUCAUUUCACUAUUAGUUAGUCCGGCAAGUGAAGUGAUGAGCAUGAUAGGAAGAGAAUUCCCUUUUAAGGAUCUGAGAUCUGUUCCUACGUAUUUUCAUCACACAUAUGAUGACUUUUCUGUUUGUUUCUUUAAGAAGGCAAUGUGCCUUUUGUUACAUCAAGGAAGAUUUGGGAUAUGGCAAAAGUUGAUUAUACUACAGCAUGAGCUUGUUAUCUGCAGAGUGCAAAUGAUGUGGUUGUUUUUCUUAGCAUUUGAUAUUCAUGAUUCUUAUAGAAAGUCUUUCCUUUUUCAAAAAAAGCUUUGUAUCAAUUCAGAUUGUCGGCAUGGAUUCCAACUGUUAAUCGAGAUUUCAGUGCCCCUCAAAGGUAAGUCGUCAAAUGAGGAAUAAGCCGAGGCUGAUGUGCUGGGUUGUUGAGAUUUUCUUACAGGAAAUUAGCUUCUUAACAUAUGGGGAGGGGUGCACCAUUCCAGUCCUUGAGGCACGCGAGCACAGCAUCAAUCAUCUUCCCCUGAGAAAUAGCGACAAACACCUUAUCAAACUCCUCUCCCGGUG